rnacentral:rRNA from 1 species
UACGUAGGGGGCAAGCGUUAAUCGGAAUUACUGGGCGUAAAGCGUGCGCAGGCGGUUGUGCAAGACAGAUGUGAAAUCCCCGGGCUCAACCUGGGAACUGCAUUUGUGACUGCACGGCUGGAGUGCGGCAGAGGGGGAUGGAAUUCCGCGUGUAGCAGUGAAAUGCGUAGAUAUGCGGAGGAACACCGAUGGCGAAGGCAAUCCCCUGGGCCUGCACUGACGCUCAUGCACGAAAGCGUGGGGAGCAAACAGG